rnacentral:tRNA from 1 species
GCGUUCGGGGUGUAGUGGUCAGCACGCUCGACUCGUAACCGAAAGGUCCGUGGCUUGAUUCCCGGCGAAGGCG